rnacentral:misc_RNA from 1 species
UGUUUGGAUCGUCCGUGCCGGCUCGCUCCGUGCCUGUCCACCGAGCGGCUGGCAAGCGAUCCGCGUCGGUCGCGCGAGGUGGUGUUAUGUUUGAUUAACCAGAGGCCGGUUCUUGUGCUGCCUACCCCUUCAAGGGAAGCACAGGCCACUUGANGUAAGCCUCAAUCCGGCGCCUUCCAACGGGCGCCGNAGGACAGCGGAGUUCCACGAGCCCUCGCCGAUCGCUUAGUUCGCAGGGACGUGCGAAGCUCUCGGACACAGCGCACGCCGCANGACGAGGACUCACGUCCCAGCCCCAAGAGAAGCUUCAACGCAACGCAUGACGGCCGCUCCGGCCCCCGUUUGCCCCGGCGACGUGAGGGCACGGCGCAGCGUUGCGGAGGAAUGCUACCUGGAUGAUCCUGCCAGUAGUCAUAUACUUGUCA